GACGAACCGUGCAAACGUUGCUCGGAAUUACUGGGCGUAAAGGGCGCGUAGGCGGAAUGGCAAGUCGGUCGUGAAAUCCUUCGGCUCAACCGAAGAACGUCGAUCGAAACUGCCGUUCUUGAGGAUUGCAGAGGAGACUGGAAUUCCCGGUGUAGCGGUGAAAUGUGUAGAGAUCGGGAGGAACACCGGUGGCGAAGGCGGGUCUCUGGGCAAUUCCUGACGCUGAGGCGCGAAAGCGUGGGGAGCAAACAGG
rnacentral:rRNA from 1 species